rnacentral:rRNA from 1 species
GACGAACCGUGCGAACGUUAUUCGGAAUCAUUGGGCUUAAAGGGCGCGUAGGCGGCGAUAUAAGUUGGAAGUGAAAUCCCCAUCGGCUCAACCGUGGAAUAGCUCCCAGUACUGUAUCGCUCGAGGGGGGGAUAGGGGUCUGCGGAACUACCGGUGGAGCGGUGAAAUGUGUUGAUAUCGGUGGGAACGCCAGUGGCGAAAGCGGCAGACUUGACCCUUCCUGACGCUGAGUGCGCGAAAGCUAGGGGAGCAAACGGG